GGAGGAUCAUUAUUGAAUGAAACACUUCUGGCCUUAUGUUGUUGUGCUGGCCCUUUGGGCAAUGUGCACGCAGCUCUGGUCAGUUGUUUCUUCUUGUUCCACCUGUGCACUGCCUGUAGACACACUGUGUCUAUGAUAUUUGAUAACACACAAGAAUGUUAGUUGGCAUGUUAUAUUAUAAUAAAAUAUACAACUUUCAACAACGGAUCUCUUGGCUCUCGCAUCGAUGAAGAACACAGCGAAAUGUGAUAAGUAAUGUGAAUUGCAGAAUCCAGUGAAUCAUCGAAUCUUUGAACGCAUCUUGCGCUCCUUGGCAUUCCGAGGAGCAUGCCUGUUUGAGUGUCAUUAAACUAUCAAAACACUUUUUGUUGAGGUGUUUUGGACUUUGGGAGUAGUGUGCUGGUCUCUUAUGAGCCAGCUCUCCUUAAAAGCAUUAACUUUGGAGAACCAUCAGUGUGAUAUAUCAUUUUGUUUAUACGCUGGCUUUCUCCUUUUUAAAAAUGCCCCUUUGACCUCAAAUCAGGUAGGACUACCCGCUGAACUUAAGCAUAUCAAUAAGCGGAGGAAAAGAAACUAACAAGGAUUCCCCUAGUAACUGCGAGUGAAGCGGGAAAAGCUCAAAUUUGAAAUCUGGCAGUCUAUUUUUUCUUCUUUGGCUGUCCGAGUUGUAAUCUAGAGAAGUGCUUACCUGCACUGGACCAUGUAUAAGUCUCCUGGAAUGGAGCGUCACAGAGGGUGAGAAUCCCGUCUUUGACAUGGACUGCCAGUGUGUUGUGGUGUGCUCUCAAAGAGUCGAGUUGUUUGGGAAUGCAGCUCUAAAUGGGUGGUAAACUCCAUCUAAAGCUAAAUAUUGGCGAGAGACCGAUAGCGAACAAGUACCGUGAGGGAAAGAUGAAAAGGACUUUGGAAAGAGAGUUAAACAGUAUGUGAAAUUGUUGAAAGGGAAACGCUUGAAGUCAGUUAUGUUGGCUAGGGAUCAACCUUGUCUUUUGCUGGGUGAAUUUCCUAGUUUGACAGGCCAACAUCAGUCUUGACUGCUGGAAAAGAGCAGAGGGAAUGUGGCACCUUCGGGUGUGUUAUAGCCCUUUGUCAUAUGCAGCGGUUGGGACUGAGGGAUGCAGCGUGCCGCGAGGCUGGGUUCGAC
rnacentral:rRNA from 1 species